UUCCGUCUCGACAACCUACUGGAGUCGGGAGGCAAGGAGGACAGAGAAACACAUGCUCCGAUUCUGAGUUACUCACUGCAAUAUUAUUAAUUAAACACACAAAUACACACAAUGUAUACGUGUACGUACAUGAAUCAUAUGAUGAUAUCAUAAUGAGUCUUAACACAUGAUACACGCUCAUAGAAUAAGUUUAGAGUUUUCCAUAUGCAUUAUGUACUAAAGAUGUCUAUUGCUUCCGAUGCAUAUUGCAUGCAUGCCUUAGCUUCUCUGCUGCAUCAUUGAUAAUAAUGUUUGUUUAGUUCGUACAUGAGUAAAUAUUAGGAAACAGAAACACCAAAGAUGGCAGAACCAAAAAACACUAAUCCAAGCUCAAUUAUGUUUCAUUCUUGUUACUCUCUUCACUCUUUAUAUGCCCUCUUUUUCUCAUUCUUCUGUAAGCAACCCUUCUAUUGAUCGACCCGACUGCGAUCACUUGUAUUUGGGAGAAAUUGAGGAUCCCACUUUAUAAGGGGAAAAAAUCGAACCCUGGCUACAAGGGUAGGAGGAGGUUCUCCAACCAUGCAUGUAUCUAGCACAGACAAACACUAGUCUUGUGCUUGUGUUGUGCGUGGUCCACCAAACUCAAUAGAUAUGUGCUUCGGACCGACCUGAUCAGUGCCAUAUUUACCUAUGCUGAGCAUAUUUGAUAAUGGCUCAGUUGGUAUAUGUAACGCUUAUGCAAAUGUAUUUUGAAGAGGAAAAGAGUAAAAUAGGCUUCGAUCUAUGUGUGGUUGGUAUUUGAAGAGCUUGCAUUUUGUUUCAUAUUACCUACUCGCAUACUCUUUGCAGAUUGUAGCCUCAUACAACACAGCACCAAGAAAAACCAAGACCAGCUAGCCUUCUCUUGACCUAAGCAUGUUUCUUAAUUUCUGGCCAUCCUUCUUAUGGACAGAGCUAAAAGGGAUGAUUAUCGAGGCCGAUCCGAGUAAGAUACUUAAUUCAUAUUAUCUACUUGCUAGUUGCUACAUAUUUUUAUCUAUAAAGUGCAAUAGUUUCCAGUAAUUUGCUCUAACAUACACUGGGCAAGGUGUUUUGGGACACGUCCAUAUCUGUAUUUUUUCUAUUCAAAUUUCAAUGUUAUGUAUGUUCAUACUUUUUUGUCUAAACUUCAAUGCGACAAGGUUCCCUAUAGGAUUUUACCAGGAAUUUGUUGAGAUUUGUGAGUAUCUUUUGUAUGAGCUAUAUCUUCUUAUGUCAUUGUUAAGCCUAAACUGGUUGAAUAUUUCAUCUUCGAAGUAGUAGCUUCGACUUUCGAUGAACACACCCACAGACCCGUAGCCUUGUUGUUCUUUGGUCUUAAAAACAAGCAACCUUUUGUGACUUGUAGUAGAAGUGUUAAUAACUAACACAACGACUAACAACUCUAAUUAGAACCCUAUGCAAAGUAAGCGGCUUCAGAUUAAGGUUUGCAACCAUUCAAGUAAGUUGACUUGACACGACCCAUGUAUUAAAUGUGUUAGGUUAGAGUUGAGCUACCAAACACAACCCGGCACGACAACCCGUUUACUUGCUAAAGCAUUGUUGUGUAUCAUUACUGUAGCUUGUAGUAAUUUAAAGUUUUUUAUUUUUAUUUUCGUGUAAGUUCUGUGUUUCGCUUGUUGUAUAUUGUUUGUUCGCACCUCAUUUUUCGUACAUUGUGUGGGUUAAUUCAGAUAUCAAACUAAUUUGUGUGAUUUAUAUGUGUGUGUUUGAUAGAUGAUAUAAUAAAAGGGUUAGUUCAUGGUUGAGAGCUGCCAACUUGUUUAAUUAAGAGUUGGUUAGAAUCAGGAUAAGUUAACUCAUUAACCUAUAAAGCCAACCCAAAAUUGACCCGACCCGACCCAAUUGCUAGCUUAGGUAACCUCAAAUCAAUGUCUUUGUCUCUUGUUUGUUGAACCCUUCGAAAAGGCUUGGACAAUAUAACACCACUCAAACCCACAUCAAACCAUCACAAAUUUUAUCAUCUUCCUCCACCUGUAAAGCAUGCCUCCAUUAUACAUCCAAACUCAAAAUGGGUAAAGCUCAAGGCAAAAGACGCCAUUAAGCUCAAUUCUCAUUAAGGCGCGAGACUUGGUAAUGUACCAUGCCCAUACCGAGUAUCAAGUCAAACAUCACUGUCUUCCGAGAAUAAUAGAAGACAAAGAAGCUCACUAGACUACAGGCAUCAAUAUUUACACAAUAACUAACAUAUUAUGCCUCUAUUAGACUAUCACAACACAGAGUGAUUAUAUGGCAACGUACAUAGCGAUGAGUUAAGAAAUAGAAGCUCAUACAAAGUGUACUCAAUAGAUUCCGGGUAUAAUCCUGUAGGGAACCUUGUCACAGUAUAGUUUCCAGUACUUGCCAUACCUGCAAGUGUCACAAGAUUCAUUUUAAAACGUAAGGUGAAAAUAACUUUAGAAUUGGAAUAGGGGAAAUAGGAAUUCAAAUUUAACAAUAUGUUGAUAGAUGAUCCAAAAUACCACGCCAAGAAAUAUGCAUGUAGUGUUUCUUUUCAGUUGUAGCAAUCAAGAAAUUUAUAAAUCAUAAAAAUAUGGCAGGCACACAGUACGAAUUGUCUUACUUUGAUCGGCAUCGGUCAUCAUCCCUUUUAGCACGGUCCACAAGAAGAAUAGUGAGAAAUAUCACGUAGAAGUAUGGCAAAAACUGCAGAAAGAAAGCACAAUACAACAUACAUAUUGGUUAAUGGAAGGAUAAACACAAAUUACCCUCACUCAUAUGAAUUUUACAUCUCCAUCAAACCGUUGUACCAAUAACGUACUAUUUCUGUAGAAUUUAUAUUUUACAUCUCCAUCAAACCAUUGUACCAAUGCCGUACUAUUUCUGUAGAAUUUAUAUUUUACAUCUCCAUCAUACCAUGAUACCAAUGUAGUACUAUUUCUUUAGGAUCCUUCAUUAGUGUUACCAAAAAAGGUAAUAUGGGAACAUACAAAGUUAACACGCUAAAUAUAGAUCGUGGCCUACUAUUAUGGUACAAUAAGAAUCUGUUGUCCCACAUUUGUGUCUUGAUCUAGAGUCCCAAAUAGUUCACAUCUUAGCCACCCCACUCACUUAUAUUAAGGUAGCUAAAUUUUCAUUUGACAAGAUGGCAAAGUUGGAAAGAAGUGGGACACCAAAUGAGCCACUAAAUGGGAUGGGAAUAAUCUUGGGAUACACAAGUCCUUAUAGAGUUUAUAAAAAAAGUUACUUACAUGAUCAAAAAGUGCAGGAAGUGACCAGAAAAAAGCGGCUAAAAUUUCUGGGACAUAAUGGAAAUGUCGAGAUAAACCCCACCUGUGAAUAAAAACAGAUAUAUAAAGGCACAUUAUUAUUUGUAACAAUGACUUAAUGUUAAAGGACAUAAAAAAGGUACAAAUCAGUCUCGAAAUAAAGAGACUUGCCAAACUCAUUCUUUUUGCAGAGCAAGUCAAUGUUGAUACUUCUGCAGAAAGUAAAGAAGCACAAAAUUUAACAAAGUGACUGCGAACAGAAAACCCACCAUCCUGAGGUCAACAGAAGACUAGUCUUGGUUUCUCCUGAUGUCGUAGUGUAUGAGGCCAGAAUCUGCAAGAGUAUUCAACUGCUUAAGCAUCAUAGUGUCCGAGCAUACUAAGGAAAAAGGAGACUUCCGAGACUAGAACCAGGGGAAAGGAAAAAAGAAGAAGAAAAAAUGAAGGUAAAAGGUGUACCUUUGAAGGAGCUUUCCCCCAAACCAAGCCUUUGCCAUUAGUUCUACGAAACUCUUGUCUCUGCCUGUCGCAGUCGUAAUUGAUAAAGAUGCACAAAAUACCCGCCACCAGAAUAUAAACCGAAAGCUGAAACACAAGAAAAAAAAUAUUGUAAGGAACAUAUAUUGUCUGCUUUUCUCUAAUGAUGAGCUAACAAGUAACAAUGCACUAAAUCUAGAAUACUUCUCAAUGACAAAGUUACCUGAAUUCCAAGAUGAACAGGGUGGUUGACUAGAUACAUGCCUGGAGAAGUAUACACCGAAGGGACCCACACCAAGCAUCCCCAGCAAAUGUAGAACCCGGCUGCCAGAGUCACAUUUGCAGCAGUAAAAAACAGAUUGAGCAUCACAGAGAUGACAGGCAAGUGGAGUGUGCAACCCACUUUGAAAAAUCUUCUCAAGUUACCCACGGGCCACGACAGAACUUGUGUGGCGGAAAAUCCGAAGCUUGUACAAAAACCACUGAGGCAGUCACACUCAUCCAAACAUUACUCGAAAGAUAAUUAUCCCAAAGAUUGGAUUCGAACCUUAGGCAAUGCUUUGAAACUUGGGAUGGUAUUCCAUUAAGCUACCAUCUCUCUCUGGACACUAAUCUUAUUAUAGUAAGAGAGAGGUGAUAACUUAGUGGAAUACCUCCCCAAAUUUCGGUGCAUUGUCCAGGGUUCGAAUUUUUAUCUCAACAAUAUGCUGGGGUAUUUAUUUUUGGGUUGUUUAGCCUUGUACUUAGGCUAUGUUCAGUUCACCUGAAAUUUUCUAAUCUGAACUUAUCUGAACUUAUUUUUUCUGAUCUGAUCUGAUCUGAACUUAUUUUUUCAACAAGAUCUUAUCUUUUAUAAAAUAUAUUAUUACUAUUAUAUUA